UGGUGCAUUUGUGGUGAUUCAGUUAUUUAAACACAUCCGGUAAAGAAACUGCCAGGGACCAGGGUUUCCACCCUGCUGCAUGUCCCACCCUUCUGGAGCCAUCUUAUUUGCGACUUGACCUCCCUGCACAAGGGACUCUGGGGAUUGUGGUUUCCGAACGGAUCGAGACUGACACCUGAAGGACGCGGCUUAGCCGCUUAGCCCCUAGCUGGUCCUGCGGGGCUUACCGACGUCACCUGGGCAGAGGUGGAAGACGGGAGGUGAUCGGGAAAUUUUUGCCGGCAGUUGGUGCCAGGCCACACCCGAAAGCCAACCUUAACAUAAAUAAACCCAGAGCCCUUCCUCCUCCAACUUCAAAAGCCGCUUUUGCUCCCAGAUGUUAUUGAGAACCGGCUCACGGGUCAGCUCUGAGCUAGGCGCUGUGAGAACGCUUAAUAAGACCGUGUCUUUUCAGGAAGUCUACAGGCGAGACUCAAACUGAGAAACUUAAAGGGUACCCCUUUUGAUGCUUAUUUUAUCCUGAUACCGCCUGAGUGCCGAGAGUGGAGGUGGACGAUGUGAUUUGCGUCUGCAAAAUGCAGAAGAUUUGGGACCCGUCUUGGAAGCUUCUUCCAUCCCUAGAUUUCCUGAUAGAUGAUGCUGAAGGGGCUGCCCUGGUGACGCAGUGGUUAAGAAUCUGCCUGCCAAUGCAGGAGACACGGGCCCAGCCCUGGUCCGGGAAGAUCCCACAUGCCGCGGAGCAACUAAGCCCGUGCGCCACAGCUCCUGAGCCUGCGCUCUAGAGCCCAUGCGCCACAACUACUGAAGCCCGCGCGCCUAGAGCCCGUGCUCCGCAACAACAGAAGCCACAGCAAUGAAAAGCGCGCACAUGACAACAAAGAGUAACCCCCGCUUGCUGCAACAAGAGAAAGCCGGCGCACAGCAAAGAAGAUCCAAUGCAGCCAAAAAUAAAUAAAUAAAUAAAUAAAUAAAUUAAUUAAUUUUUAAAAA